rnacentral:tRNA from 6 species
GCCGCUAUGGUGAAAUUGGUAGACACGCUG